AUUGAACGCUGGCGGCAGGCCUAACACAUGCAAGUCGAGCGAGCGGCGGACGUGUGAGUAAUGUAUGGGGACUGCCCGAUAGAGGGGGAUAACUACUGGAAACGGUGGCUAAUACCGCAUACUAUCGGAUAACCCAUAUGGGAUUAGCUAGUAGGUGGGGUAAAGGCUCACCUAGGCGACGAUCUCUAGCUGGUCUGAGAGGAGGAUCAGCCACACGGAGGCUGAGACACGGCCCAAGCUCCUACGGAGGCAGUAGUGGGGAAUAUUGCUCAAUGGGCGCAAGCCAGAAGCAGCCAUGCCGCGUGUAGUAGGAAGGACUUAAGGUUGUAAAGUACUUUCAGCGGGGAGGCGUUACCCGUAGAAGAUGCACCGGCUAACUCCGUGCCAGCAGCCGCGGUAAUUC
rnacentral:rRNA from 1 species